CAAUUCUAAGGGUUAAAACAUGCAAUCAAACUAAAAGCAAACAAAGCAUGCAUGGUGUUCAUUAACCUUUAAGAAAUUAAAUGUGCAACUACUUUAAAAAUCACAUGCAAGAUGUUUUAAUAAAAGUCUUUGACCGCGUCCUGCAUAAGAUUUGUUAGUAGUUUCAUUUUCAUGUCUUCGUCACACAUAACGCCAAGGUGCUGCACAGAGAAUCAGUACCAAAGAAAAACCAGAAUAUAAGAACAGAAUGAAGACAAAAUAAUUUGCAAGUAAAAACAUUGGUUUCACCUCUGUUUCUGGCCUUACACAGGCGCAGAAUGUCUCAACACAGGCGUAGAAUGCCUUGACACAGGGGCAAAAUGCCUUGACACAGGCACAAAUCUCUUUGACACAGGCGCAGAUCCCUCCUACACAGGCGCAAAAGUGUCCAGAAAGCCCUGAGUUGUCCUGUUUCUUGAUUUUUCACCUGCAAAUCAGCUUAAAAGCACUCAAAAACAUGGUUAGGAGGUUAGUUCAUGUCGGGUUCACCAGAAAAUGUAGCUAAAAAUAUUGUAAAACAUCAAAUACAUCAUAAGCUAUGCAACCACAAACAUAACCUAGUAUAUGAUAAUUCUAGCAAAACAUUCAAAAGAAUAAGGAAAUAAAAACACUAUUAUACUAUGCAAACCAUAUAUUUGAGCUCAUUCCUUGACCUCCAUUGUUUCUCUCUCACCUCCAAAUUAUUGUGGAUCUCACCUCCAAAAUGCAAGUGUAUGCAAGCAAGAUUAUAAUUCGAAAAAUGAUAGUGUAAGGAUACUAGAGACGUGGUUGAUUCUCUGAAAAUGUGGUUAGGUUGAUUAAUUGAUUGAUUGAAGAAAAUUAUCCAAUUUAUAGACAAAUUGGAGAGAGGACAAGAUUAGCAUGAAAUUGAUAUUAGAGGCAAUUGAUUUCAAAAAAUUGCAAAAUUGUGUUGAAGGAAGAAGGUUAUGACACCUUCUAUGUCAUGAAUUAUGACAUAUUGCCAAUGCAAAGGUUAGAGGACUAAAAACCUAUGACAUCUUGCUAUGCCAAUGGUAUGACGCAUGAGAAAUUCAUGCUUCCACCGAAGCACAAAAAUAUGGAGAGACUAGAGAGAAAUUGAUUAGGUGGAAAUUGAAUUUAGCAGAUUAGAAAAUGAAGUGGAAAUUAGGAAUUAGGAAAAUUAAAAAUGAUGAAAAUAGAAAUUAGGUGAAUUAAUUAAUAGGUUUUCAUCCAUUAAUUAAUUCAUGAAAGAGACCUAGGACUAAAUAAAUAGAUUUAUUAAACCCACAAAGAAUAAGAAAAAGGAUUAAAUGAACAAAUCAUAAAACCCUAGAAAUAAGAGGACAAGGAAUUAGGUCACGACAACAAGAAAUUAAUGUAGGUUCGAUCAUGAUUCUGAUUGACAAAGGACCAAUAUUGAUAAAUGAUUAAAAUUGGUUGACAAAAAUCAAUGACAAAUUGACCAAGAUUGACAAGGAGAUCAAAUUGAUAAACGCCAAUUGACAUGAUUGAAGAGGACAAGGACCGAUGACGAAUCGAUCGCAAAAUGACAAAAUUGGCAAGGACAAGGAUCGAUAACGAAUCGAUCACAAAAUGACGAAAUUGACAAGGACAAGGAUCGAUGACAAAUCGAUCGCAAAAUGACGAUAUUUGACAAGAACAAGGAUCGAUGACGAAUCGAUUGCAAAAUGACGAGAUUGACAAGGACUAGGAUCAUGACGAAUCGAUCGCAAAAUGACAAAAUUGACAAGGACAAGGAUCGACCAAAAUCAUGACUGAAGAUUGUUAUCGACAAGACCUAAUUUGAAAGCGAUAAAAAUGAGGAGUGCCAAAGAAGGACUCGAUGCUCGCAAAUGAUAAAGACCAAGUGCGCAACAUAGAAGAAAUGUUAAUGCGAUGCAAGAACCCUAAAAUAAGGCAAUGCACAAAUGUUAAAGUAUGACUCCACAAGCGUUGACCAUUUUUAGAUGUCUACAGAAACAAUUUGACCGAAACACAUAAAGAGUGUGCUAGACUGAUGAAAUUUAAAAAAUUGCCUUGUAUUGACAAGAUUUUGAAAAAAAAACUUUCCAGAGAUAUAUAAAAGAAAGAAAGAGAGCACACAUGAUAUUCUGUUGCUACUUCAAGUUCUUGUUGAACUAAACAAGUUAGUUCAUACCAUCGGUCCUCAACAAGAAUUUUUGAGUGACAAACUGAGUCCAAAGCUAACAUACUAACUACAAGAUGCAAGAUAUUGACUACUAUCGGUCUGCCCAAUUGGUGUCAUUAGUUAACUGAAAACUGCCCAUUUUUGUUUCCACUUGAGAUAAGGAAGAAAUAUUUUAUAUUUUGUGUUACAUAAGAUUUCUCCAAUAUCUUGCAUCUUUUAGUUGGUAUGCUAGCUUUGGACUUAGUUUGCCACUCAAAAAUUCUUGUUGAGGACUGAUGGUAUGAACUAACUUGUUUAGCUCAUAAAAAAUUUGGAUAGGAACAAAAUAUUAUGUGCUCUUUUAUAUAUUACAGGGAAUCUUUCUUUCGAAAAUUUUGUCAAUAGAAGACAAAUUUUUAAUUGUCAUCAGUCUCGUAAACUCUUUAUGUGUUUCAAUCAAAUUGCUUUCUUUCGGCGUGUUUGCCUUCUUCUAUCUAAUUUUGUGAACUUUAUACCAAAUUGAUUCCCUCAUCCAUGCUUACCUUGGAUGCCUUGGCGCUUAAAGGUUUGUGUUGCAGAAAGUAUGCAUUUGAGGCAGCUGCAAAAGUGAUGGAUUUGUGUGGUGGGCAGAAGGCUGUCCUCAAAAUUGAGUAUUAUAAUGAGGUCGCCAAUAGUUUGGGUCCAACUCUUGAGUUUGACACACUUAUUAAUCAUGAAUUAGAGAGUAAACUUGGAAUAUGGAGGACAAGUGCAGGGGACUUAGUGCAGGCUUCUCUGGGAUUAUUUCCUUGUCCUUAUUCACCUCAUACAGAUUCUUCCCGUGGAAGAGAAAACUUUAAAGUGACAGAGAAAUUCACUUUCUUGGGUUUCUAAUGGCUAAAGCUCUUCAAGAUGACUUCUGGACUUGCCACUUUCCAGAGCAUUUUAUAAGCCUCUUCUCGGGAAGGUGAGUUUUUCAAUGAUAAAGCCUUUCUUUCAAUUUAGGGUAUCAAUUGGAACUGACAAGUUUUUGGGCAUAAAGGAUAUUGAUUUAUAUGAUAUCAAGUACUUUGACAUGGAGGUUGGAACAAAAUUUUCAGAAAUGCAAGCUCUUGCAGCUCGAAGGCAAUACUUGGGAGUCAAUGGCAGAUUUUAAGAGCAUAGAAAUGUCAAGCUUACAUUACCAUAGUGCAAAAAUUGAAGACCUUUGUGUUGAUUUUACUCUUCCUGGUUUCCCUGACUACCCUCUCAAACAGGGGGAGCGGUAUUUUGUUUACGAUAUGGAGAAUAUAUUUCAUUGGUUGUGAAAGCAGGAAUCAUUCCACAAACGGAGGCCUUUUGAAAAGGGUAUAAUCAGGUGUUUUCCAUCUCGACAUUGCAAGUAUUUUCAGAAAAGGAUUUGGAAACUCUUCUAUGUGGUGUGCGUGACUUAUGGGAGUUAAGCAGAAAGUGGUUCAAUUGAUGUUUCGAAGAAUCCUACAUUCUAUAUUAAUGUUUAGUUACUAGACUUAACUUGUAAGAUGUUUUAGCAGGCUGAACUGCUAAGUGAUCACAUCUUGAAUUCGAUCGUGGUUAUAUCGGGUGAGUUCUAUUUCUUCUAAAAAUUCCCUAACAUAUAAGAAUUUCAAAACUAUUUGCAA